GGAGCACUUCAUAUUUAUCUAAAUUAAACUCCAUCUACCACUUGUAAGCUCAUUGGACCAACUGAUCAAGCACACUGAUCGAACAAACUAUGUUUUUUAUUAGUUUGCCAAUCCAGCGUAAUCCUUCCCCAAAGUACUAGCAGUCAGCAGAGAGAAUGAAGCGAAAGUUGCCUUAACUUCCUCCUAUUUAAAACACCAC